AGUGAAACGAAACAGCGUCGAUGGUAGUGUGGGGUCUCCCCAUGUGAGAGUAGAACAUUGCCAGGCUU
rnacentral:rRNA from 1 species